UACGUAGGCAGCAAGCGUUGUUCGGAAUUACUGGGCGUAAAGAGUACGUAGGUGGUUUGCCAAGUCCGAUGUGAAAUCUCCUGGCUUAACUGGGAGGGUGCGCUAGAUACUGGCAGGCUUGAGUGUGGGAGAGGAGAGCGGAAUUCCUGGUGUAGCGGUGAAAUGCGUAGAUAUCAGGAGGAACGCCUGUGGUGUAGACGGCUCUCUGGACCAUUACUGACACUGAGGUACGAAAGCGUGGGUAGCAAACAGG
rnacentral:rRNA from 1 species